rnacentral:rRNA from 1 species
UAUCAAUAAGCGGAGGAAAAGAAACCAACAGGGAUUGCCUCAGUAACGGCGAAGUGAAGCGGCAAGAAGCUCAAAUUUGAAAUCUGGCUCCUUCGGGGCCCGAGUUGUAAUUUGGAGAGGAKGCUUCGGGCGUGGCCCCUAUCUAAGUGCCCUGGAACGGGCCGUCAUAGAGGGUGAGAAUCCCGUCUGGGAUGGGUGGUCCCGCCCGUGUGAAGCUCCUUCGAAGAGUCGAGUUGUUUGGGAAUGCAGCUCUAAGAGGGUGGUAAAUUUCAUCUAAAGCUAAAUAUUGGCCGGAGACCGAUAGCGCACAAGUAGAGUGAUCGAAAGAUGAAAAGCACUUUGAAAAGAGAGUUAAACAGCACGUGAAAUUGUUGAAAGGGAAGCGUUGGCAACCAGACUCGCCCGGGAGGGCUCAGCCGGCACGUGUGCCGGUGCACUCCCCCCCGGGCGGGCCAGCGUCGGUUUGGGCGGUCGGUCAAAGGCCCCGGGAACGUAGCACCCUCCGGGGUGCCUUAUAGCCCGAGGCGCCAUGCGACCUGCCCGGACCGAGGAACGCGCUCCGGCUCGGACGCUGGCGUAAUGGUUGUCAACGGCCCGUCUUGAAACACGGACCAAGGAGUCUAACAUCUAUGCGAGUGUUCGGGUGUCAAACCCGUCCGCGCAGUGAAAGCGAACGGAGGUGGGAACCCCUUUCGGGGUGCACCAUCGACCGAUCCUGAUGUCUUCGGAUGGAUUUGAGUAAGAGCAUAGCUGUUGGGACCCGAAAGAUGGUGAACUAUGCCUGAAUAGGGCGAAGCCAGAGGAAACUCUGGUGGAGGCUCGCAGCGGUUCUGACGUGCAAAUCGAUCGUCAAAUUUGGGUAUAGGGGCGAAAGACUAAUCGAACCAUCUGGUAGCUGGUCUGC